GUCUUGUCAAUGAUGUUGUAAACACAAAUGUCUGAACAUAUGAGUUCCAGUGAUUCCAGAUUGAAACUGAGACAAGAU